AAAUAGCCCCGAUUGAAAUGGAAAUCCUUUUUUUACGCGAGCGAAGCGACCGUAAAAAAGAUUGUAAUGGAAAGCGGGAACAAUC
rnacentral:sRNA from 1 species